GGCUUACCAAGGCAACGAUGCGUAGCCGACCUGAGAGGGUGAUCGGCCACAUUGGAACUGAGACACGGUCCAGACUCCUACGGGAGGCAGCAGUGGGGAAUAUUGCGCAAUGGGGGAAACCCUGACGCAGCAACGCCGCGUGGGUGAUGAAGGUCUUCGGAUUGUAAAGCCCUGUUUUCUAGGACGAUAAUGACGGUACUAGAGGAGGAAGCCACGGCUAACUACGUGCCAGCAGCCGCGGUAAUACGUAGGUGGCGAGCGUUGUCCGGAUUUACUGGGCGUAAGGUGCGUAGGCGGAUGUUUAAGUGGGAUGUGAAAUCCCCGGGCUUAACCUGGGGGCUGCAUUCCAAACUGGAUAUCUAGAGUGCAGGAGAGGAAAGCGGAAUUCCUAGUGUAGCGGUGAAAUGCGUAGAGAUUAGGAAGAACACCAGUGGCGAAGGCGGCUUUCUGGACUGUAACUGACGCUGAGGCACGAAAGCGUGGGUAGCAAACAGGAUUAGAUACCCUGGUAGUCCACGCCGUAAACGAUGGAUACUAGGUGUAGGGGGUAUCAACUCCCCCUGUGCCGCAGUUA
rnacentral:rRNA from 1 species